rnacentral:lncRNA from 1 species
GGGGAACUUUAGUUCAUCCCCUUUAGGGGAACUAAAGGGGUGUCCCCUUCGGUUCUUCCCCUUUGGUUCCCCUAAAGGGGACGAACUAAAGGGGUUCCCCUUUAGGGGAAGAACACUAACGGGGAAGAAGGAGUUCCCCUUUAGGGGAAGACUUUGGUUCUUCCCCUUUGGUUCCCCUUUAGGGGACGAACUAAAGAAGACAACCCUAAAGGGGACAACCCUUUAGUGAAAACGAAGGGGUUCCCCAAAGGGUUCCCCAAAGGGUUCCCCAAAGGGUUCCCCAAAGGGUUCCCCAAAGGGUUCCCCAAAGGGUUCCCCAAAGGGUUCCCCAAAGGGUUCCCCAAAGGGUUCCCCAAAGGGUUCCCCAAAGGGUUCCCCAAAGGGUUCCCCAAAGGGUUCCCCAAAGGGUUCCCCAAAGGGGAAGACGACGAUGCCCUUCCCCUUUAGGGGAUGACAAGGGAGCCAAGGGGGACUAAGACCAAAGGGGGACGCGGNCCCCCCUAGGAUAUCACCGAAGGGGUUCCCCUUUAGUUCUUCUUCUUCUUCCCCUUUAGUUCAUCCCCUUUAGGGGAACUAAAGAAGAUGAACUAAAGUUCCCCUAAAGAAGAUGAACUAAAGUUCCCCUUUAGGUCAUCCCCAAAGUCUCUUCUUCGUUUUCUUCCCUUCGUUUUCUUCCCCUAAAGGGGACGGAGACGAAGGGGAGCCAAAGUCUCUUCUUCUUCCCCUUUAGGGGACUCCGUCUUCUUUAGUUCCCCUAAAGGGGAUGAAGAAGUGCUCCCCUUCUUCCCCUUUAGUUCAUCCCCUUUAGUUCAUCCCCUUUAGGGGAACUAAAGGGGAUGAACUAAAGGGGUGAAAACGAAGGGGAAGAAGAAGGGGUUCCCCUAAAGGGGAAGAACACACCAAAGUUCCCCUAAAGGGGAAGAAGAAGAACCCCUUCUACCCCUUUAGGGGACUUAUUCCCCUUUAGGUUCCCCUUUAGGGGACUUCUUCCCCUUUAGGGGAACCAAAGGGGGGGUUCCCCUAAAGGGGAUGACGUAGGGGUGUUCCCCUUCGGGGAGACGAAGGGGAUGAACCCCAAAGUCUUCUUCUUCCCCUAAAGGGGAUGAACUAAAGUUCCCCUAAAGGGGAUGAACUAAAGUUCCCCUAAAGGGGAUGAAC